AGAGUUUGAUCAUGGCUCAGAUUGAACGCUGGCGGCAGGCCUAACACAUGCAAGUCGAACGGUAACAGGAAGAGCUUGCUAUUCGCUGACGAGUGGCGGACGGGUGAGUAAUGCUUGGGAACUUGCCUUUGCGAGGGGGAUAACAGUUGGAAACGACUGCUAAUACCGCAUAAUGUCUACGGACCAAACGGGGCUUAGGCUCCGGCGCAAAGAGAGGCCCAAGUGAGAUUAGCUAGUUGGUAAGGUAAAGGCUUACCAAGGCAACGAUCUCUAGCUGUUCUGAGAGGAAGAUCAGCCACACUGGAACUGAGACACGGUCCAGACUCCUACGGGAGGCAGCAGUGGGGAAUAUUGCACAAUGGGGGAAACCCUGAUGCAGCCAUGCCGCUUGUGUGAAGAAGGCCUUCGGGUUNUAAAGCACUUUCAGUUGUGAGGAAAAGNUAGUAGUUAAU
rnacentral:rRNA from 1 species